GACGAACGCUGGCGGCGUGCCUAAUACAUGCAAGUUGAGCGAUGAAGAUUGGUGCUUGCACCAAUUUGAAGAGCAGCGAACGGGUGAGUAACGCGUGGGGAAUCUGCCUUUGAGCGGGGGACAACAUUUGGAAACGAAUGCUAAUACCGCAUAAUAACUUUAAACAUAAGUUUUAAGUUUGAAAGAUGCAAUUGCAUCACUCAAAGAUGAUCCCGCGUUGUAUUAGCUAGUUGGUGAGGUAAAGGCUCACCAAGGCGAUGAUACAUAGCCGACCUGAGAGGGUGAUCGGCCACAUUGGGACUGAGACACGGCCCAAACUCCUACGGGAGGCAGCAGUAGGGAAUCUUAGGCAAUGGACGAAAGUCUGACCGAGCAACGCCGCGUGAGUGAAGAAGGUUUUCGGAUCGUAAAACUCGGUUGGUAGAGAAGAACGUUGGUGAGAGUGGAAAGCUCAUCAAGUGACGGUAACUACCCAGAAAGGGACGGCUAACUACGUG
rnacentral:rRNA from 1 species